rnacentral:rRNA from 1 species
UACGUAGGGCGCAAGCGUUGUCCGGAAUUAUUGGGCGUAAAGAGCUCGUAGGCGGUUUGUCGCGUCUGUCGUGAAAGCUUGGGGCUUAACCCCAAGUCUGCGGUGGAUACGGGCAGACUAGAGGCAGGUAGGGGAGAACGGAAUUCCCGGUGUAGCGGUGAAAUGCGCAGAUAUCGGGAGGAACACCGGUGGCGAAGGCGGUUCUCUGGGCAGUAACUGACGCUGAGGAGCGAAAGCGUGGGGAGCGAACAGG